AUGUAACCCGGGUGUAAAUUUUAACCUUUAUUUCCUCCUCCGAUUUUCCAGUCUUUUAACCUUUUUAUAUCUCAAACCCCGCGAUGCUUUUAAUAGAAUGAUUGGCGAUUCUCGCGAGACUAUUAAUUAGCCAAUUGCGGUUGAGUAUUGGGGUCACGUGUACCGCUGCAGUGUUACCUGCUAGGUAUAUUAGCUGGAGCAGGGAGGCAUGAAGGUUAGAACACGUUGGCAGGAGCAGAGCUGCAGGAGCCAACUGGUGUGAGCCAGAAGGGAGAUG